rnacentral:rRNA from 1 species
UACCGGAUGUGGUACGGAGACAUAAGUCUCUUUACUAAAGGUAGCUUCGGCUUCCGCAGUUGGGAGGGGCCCCGCGGCCCAUUAGCUAGUUGGUGGGGUCAAGGCCUACCAAGGCAACGAUGGGUAGCUGGUCUGAGAGGACGAUCAGCCACACUGGGACUGAGACACGGCCCAGACUCCUACGGGAGGCAGCAGUGGGGAAUCUUGCGCAAUGCGCGAAAGCGUGACGCAGCAACACCGCGUGAGGGAAGACGGCCUUAGGGUUGUAAACCUCUUUCAGAUGGGACGAAGGUGAUGCGGUGAAUAGCCGAUGUCAUUGACGGUACCGUCAGAAGAAGCUCCGGCUAACUACGUG